rnacentral:rRNA from 1 species
GUGCCAGCAGCCGCGGUAAAUACAGAGGGUGCAAGCGUUAAUCGGAAUUACUGGGCGUAAAGCGAGCGUAGGGUGGCUUGAUAAGUCAGAUGUGAAAGCCCCGGGGCUUAACCUGGGAGCGGCAUCUGAUACUGUUAGGCUAGAGUAGGUGAGAGGAAGGUAGAAUUCCAGGUGUAGCGGUGAAAUGCGUAGAGAUCUGGAGGAAUACCGAUGGCGAAGGCAGCCUUCUGGCAUCAUACUGACACUGAGGUUCGAAAGCGUGGGUAGCAAACAGGAUUAGAUACCCUGGUAGUCC